rnacentral:rRNA from 1 species
AUUGAACGCUGGCGGCAUGCCUUACACAUGCAAGUCGAACGGCAGCACGGGUGCUUGCACCUGGUGGCGAGUGGCGAACGGGUGAGUAAUACAUCGGAACGUACCUUAUCGUGGGGGAUAACGCAGCGAAAGCUGUGCUAAUACCGCAUACGCCCUGAGGGGGAAAGCGGGGGAUCGCAAGACCUCGCGCGAUUAGAGCGGCCGAUGCCUGAUUAGCUUGUUGGGGGGGUAAAAGCCCACCAAGGCGACGAUCAGUAGCUGGCCUGAGAGGAGGAGCAGCCACCCUGAGACUGGGCCACGGCCCAGAAGCCUAGGGGAGGCAGCAGUGGGGAAUUUUAGACAAUGGGGGCAACCCGGAUCUAGGAAUGCGGCGUGGUUGAGGAACGCGUUCGGGUUGUAAAGCUCUUUUGUCAGGGAAGAAACACCGGCUCUAACACAGUCCGGGAAUGACGGUACCUGAAGAAUAAGCACCGGCUAACUACGUGCCAGCAGCCGCCGUAA